AGGGGACGGCAAGUCCGAGGGCAUAUAGUGCUGGAAUUUCUGCAGUGUAAGUAAUUGCAGGUUUUAUGGCUCCUCAAGCGUGGUUACACGCGCAGCCGUAUCCGUCGCAAAAUGAGUAAUGGCAGCUUUUAUUCGUCCUAAAGAAUCCGUAUCGGUUCAGACCGGUAGAUCCGGAAAUUAGCUCCGGCGUCGGACAGACAUCCGGCAAAAACCAACGGGCUAGCGGCCGGAAAAGCCACCGGGGAGGUCCGGGCUAACAGUGAAAUACGGUAAUUACGGUCGGGACCCCGAUUACAAAACCGCCUUGUGAGGACCGAACCCACGGUGAGGUAGGAAAGCUACGGUCAAGAACCGGAUUAUAUACCCGGGUAAUCCUGCCAGUCAGCGCUCCUCGGUAGGUCGUGCGCAAGCUACGAACUUAAGCUAAUUCACGGGGAAGGCGCUAACCGGGCCGCCUCGUUCAAUUCUCCGCAAGGAUGAAACUUUAAGGAAUUGGCGGG
rnacentral:rRNA from 1 species